CGUGUAGGCGGAUGGGAACGUCGGAAACUGAAAGCCCCCGGCCUCAACCGGGGAAGUGGUGCCGAAACGACCUGUCUGGAGGGACGUAGGGGGACCGUGGAACUUCCGGUGGAGCGGUGAAAUGCGUUGAGAUCGGAAGGAACGCCCGUGGCGAAAGCGAGGUCCUGGACGUCUGCUGACGCUGAGACGCGAAAGCUAGGGGAGCAAACGGGAUUAGAUACCCCGGUAGUCCUAGCCGUAAACGAUGGGCACUGGGUAGGGGGCUCGCCGAUGGGCUCUCUGCCGUAGCGAAAGCGUGAAGUGCCCCGCCUGGGGAGUAUGGUCGCAAGGCUGAA
rnacentral:rRNA from 1 species